GCACCCUGGAAGGAGAUACCUCUGGUGACUGAGCUGUUCUUGUCUUGAUUAAUAGGACUGAGCAAAUGAGUGGCUGGCAAUCCACCUGGUUUGGAGGCGACCCCCUGGUUUUGCUGCUCUCUGAAUCCUCUACCCAUCUGGGAAGGUAACAGUGAGACGUACCAUCUGCGGCACACACAGCAGCUAUUGGAGGCUACUACUGACAGUUUGCGCUACAGUUUUUUGGUGAGCAAGAAGCCAGGUAUAUUGUACAGUAGGAUAUUUCUGCGCUUGAGCUGCUGCAUUUCACAAUCUGGUCUUUCGGCAACCCCCCACGCUUCCUCUUCCAAUUGCCUCUGAGUUCUGGGCUUACUUUUGGCAUAGUCUCCUAGAUGCAUUUUGCUGAGGAUGGUAGAGCAGUAAAUGGAACCUCUGAACACUGAUUAUUUUGCUUCUGUAUGACUCAAGAAAGAGAAAGAAGGGAAGAAUUAAGUACAGCUAAAGGAAUUUACAUUUCUUUUGGGGAAGUUUGCAGAGGGACAACGCAAAUGGAGCACCACUUGGGCCCCAAGUCUGUUUUUCUGCUUUGGACAAGGUAG
rnacentral:lncRNA from 1 species